AACAGCAGCCGCCGCCGCCACAGGAGGCCCGAGGGGCGGAGCCACGGCGGCCCGGCCCGGCCCGGCCCGGCUCGGCCCGCCGCCGCCUCCCCGCGGGCCGCCCCGCUCGGCCCCGCGCCGGGGGCCCCCGCGCCGCCGCCCCUCCCCUCGCUCCCUCCCCGCGCGGGCGGGCGGGAGGCGCCAGCCCCCCCGGGCCCCUCGGGCAGCCCCGCGCCGCCGCCCUACCUGCCUCGCCGGCCGCCGCCUGCUCCCGCGCGGGCCUGCGCCACGCACAGCCUCGCCGCGACGCCCGGGCCAGCGAGCCGCCGCGCUCCCCGCCGCCGCGCCCCCGCGCGGCCCGCAACGGCGCCGCCCCGGCCCCGGCCCCGGCCUCGACCUGCUGCCGGCCCCGGCCUCGGCCUGCGCGGCGCCUCGUGCCGGGCGCGCGGCCCUCCUGCCCCGGCGGGCCGCCGCCGGCCCUGCGCGACCCGGGACGUGGCCCAAACCGGCCCGCCCCGGCCGGGGUGCCGCUCGCCGCGGCGGGCCUUCGCGGCGGCAUCGCGCCUCCCGCCGCCACCGCCUCCCCGUGACGGCCGGAGACGGCAGGGCGCACGUGGGUAGAUAACGCAGGCAAAAACAUGACCCAUCUGCUAAACCUGGGUUUACAUGAUCUCUCCAAAAGAGGAGGAUUAGGAUCAGGAUUAGGACAGAGACCGAUGCACGGAUCUUUAGUUUCCCGAUGUCCUAAACUUCGGAUUUCCUCGCUGCCAGUCUUCCCCUGUCAUUAGCUCAUUCCUGACGACUUCCAUUCCAACCUCCUAAAUCAUAUACAGGUUUAAACUCAUCCCUUCGUCCUUCCUCCACAAGUGAUUCCCAAUACAAGACGAACCAGUAUGUCACAACAAGAAGGUAGCUGCUGAUUUUCACCUGAUUCUUCAGCCACAGACACCAGGGUUGUGGACAAGGUCAACUGAGGAAAAUAAUUCCAGUAUUACAAAGAAGAAGAGGUCCCUAAAGUCAACCAUAAGCCAGUUUUAUCCUCCCAUGGGUUGACGUGGUGCAGAAAGCAAAGGAAGCAGCCUGCUCCGCUCCACUCCUUCGCUCUGCCCUGGGGAGCUCUCCCGCCCCAACGGCGGCAGGCCGGGACGUCUGGCAUCCAGAGGAGUGGGAAAACAAACAGCUCUCACAGUCCCAAUUCCACUUUUUGCCUCCUCUUUGAAACCAGAUUGGCUCAGCGUGCUGGCUGAAUGUGCCUUUUCGUCGGCGCAGUCUUCCUGGCUCCUCAAUAAAUGGACUCCCAAACCUGAAGGCAGAAUCCAAGUAAGGACUAGGUCAGUAUUGCUUUAGGUUAAUACAGCCUAAAGAAAUAGGGGACAGCAAAACAGUGCUAGAGGUAUUCUGAGAUGAUGUUGAACUGAUUUCUUAGUGGUCUGAAAAGAGGUAGUCAAGAAGCAAAUAUAAGCUAACAAGAAAUGUAUACGGUAACAAGAAAUUUUAUAUUAACUGCCUAUUUGAACUCUUAGCAGAGUGAAGGUGAGAACUUUUCAACGGGCAGUUUCUAAGUAUAAGUGGAUUCUGCUCUUAGACAAAUAUAAAUGCUCACUCAUGGAAUAGCCACUGAUUUCUACAGUUUGAAUUUGGAUCAUUAAGGAAUCUGUGGGAGUAUUGUUCACACCCCGCAGUGUGAGAGGAACACGCUCAGAAACUCUGUGCGCCAGGGCAAGCGUGGCUUCAGGUACAUCCAGGACAUCAGAAUGAGAGUCUCAGCUGUGUUACCUCCAGGAUACAUUAAGGAAAUGUAUUGUUGUUCCUUAAAGACUUCUGUUCUGCUACCAAUAUUAAAUUUAUACUUUUUUUCUUUUAAGAUGCAUAUCAAAGUGAGGAGAUGUUGGUGCACCUUUCCCAGCAGAAGUAAUUCUAAGCUACUACUAAGAUCAGCUUGCAAAGGUUGGACAGAGCAGUAAGGGUGAGCUUAUACUGAGAGAGUCUCACUCCCGAUUUUGAAGAAUUUAGCUCCUCUUAAUGUCUGCUUGCAAUAGGUUCCCUAAGACAAGGUCUCCCACAUGAAACAGUUGGUAUGAGUUUCCCCAUAUGGUCUCCAUCUUUAAGUGCACUUCACUCCAAAUGCAGUGUGGAUCAUGGGUGAGGUGGUGGACACAAAGGCUUGCUCUGAGAUGUACUACCCAGGCUAAAAGAACUUGUAAUAGAUCCAGAAUUAGAGCCUAGUGCCAAGCCCACAGUAUCACAGUGACAAACUCCUAACAUGAUAAUGUGGCAAACUUCUAAGCAAUGCAUGUAGAUGUAGCCAAAGUUUCUGUGGAACAUUCAGUUGUUACUACUAUCUUGAGAAAUAUUGCAGUCAUUCAGGAAGGAUAUUAUCACAGCUCGCAAGGCCACACAUGUAAUGUAUGCAAUGUGUGCAAGACCUGUGUAAUUCUCUCUGGUUAUCAGGCCUGAGAAGAUCUGCGUCAUCCUGAUGCUGAGAGCAAUAAACCCCAGGAUCUAAGUCAAUGGAAGGCAAAGCCUGCAGCUUGACAGUUGCUCAAAAGUAUUUAACUGUUUCCAAAAUGUUCAUUUCUCCCUACCAUCGUCUCCAUGGGUUUGGUCAGUGUCAUUUACUUUUCAUUUUGGUUUAAACCUCCACUAGCUCUGGCAUAGUGUCAAACUGGGAGGCCCUUAGAAAACAACUUGUUUACCUUCCGCCUCAAGUCCUAAAUCCCAAAUUGUAAGACAACUUUCACAGGAAAGAGAAAAAUGUACUGCCAUGCUUUACUAAGAGACUGUAAGGAUCUACAGUGCCCUAAUGAAAAAGCAAUAGGCAAACCUCAGCAAUAAAGGCGUGUUGGAGAUACAGAUAAUCGAAGUACAGGUUGGGUGAAAGAUAAGCUAUCUAAGGACAUGAAUCAUGAAGUAGAAAUGUCACUAUCAGCUAUACAUAAAAAUAUGAAAAGUAUAAAGAUUUCUGUUAGUGUAAUGAUUAAAUAAUGUAAUUGUCGUUGAGCAAAGUAACAAAAGAACCUAUCUGAAACAUCUCUUUAUCCCCCAAAAUUCGGAAGUAAUUCAGAGGUAAUUUUAUUUCCUUGUCCUUGCUCAUUAUAACAGUGCCGUACUCUACAUCAUCUUUAUUUUUAAGAUUAGUAUUUGUCUGAUAAUGUUUUGUAGCUAGAAGUAAUUAAUGGUACCUAUAUAUGUUUUAGGGAAUCAGCAGAUUACCCAGGCAUUUUAUUGCCGUCUAAGCCAUGUCCAUGCAUCUUCUGGAGAAUCAUUUUUUAGGAAAAAUAAUGUAAUCUAUAGAGAUAGGCAUAUGUCACCAAACUAAAGAGAUGAUAGGUAAAGUUUUUUAUAUCUGUGGUUUAAGUGUAUAUGAAGGCAGCAAAGCAAGUCUGCUGCUGAUGAUCUUAAAUUUGCUUGUUUUUAUUUGCUGUCUAGAUUUCAAUACAGUUAAUUUCUGAGAAACCCUGGAAAUGGGUUAGAAAGUUACAAUCAAUCAAGUUCAUCGUGCACUGUUUGACUUAAAUAGUGCAAAAAUAAACACUUGAAAGCUGUUAAUGCACAUUGGAGCUGUUUGCUGUUUGUAUCUGGACUCAGCAAAAAUUGCUAGCGAAUUCUGCAGAGCUUUGUUCAGACAGUCUGCGAGAUUUGCUGCGCCAGUCAGGUGAGGUGCCCAGGGCCGUGGUCCGCAGCGUCCUCACCCACGCCUCCGUGCAGCCGAGGCACAACGGCCGGACCAGACCGUAACGCCCAUCUCGCCGCGCGGUGAAGAGCCGGCGAGGGCGCAGGCAGGGACCCCCAGGGCGAAGGGCGCCCGCCGCUCUGCAAUGCUUCCACUUCAGGGCAUCAGAGCACCCGGAUGAGCACCGUUAUUGAAAAUGCUCCUGAUGAGUUGUUUUUCAAAUCCUAAAGCUAGUUAUACAGUUUCCAUUCCUGAGAGCCUGGGACAGAAUCAAGUCCCAGUCUCACUGAAGGCACAAAGACUCUUCCCGUUAGCUUUACCAGGAUUGUGCUCAAACUAAACAAUAGGAAAUGUUUCUCUGGUGGUUAUUAUUACUCAAUUCUAGGUCUACAUCAGAAAAACAAAAUAGUUAAUUCCACAAAUGAAUGAAACCUGUCAUUAUUCUUUAUACGUCUUUAACUGACUACCCCAAGCGGGCAUGGAGAUGAGAGCAAAAUCCAGUACAUUUGAUCUAUACAGUCUCCACUUGCAACUCCUGCCCAAAUGCAUUAACAUGACACUCAAAGGUGAUCUAGAUUAAAUUCGGGCAGUGAUAAGGGGUAAGAUUUCUUCACAGGCUGCAAACUUAAAACAAGCGGUUCAACCUAAUGCAAUUACACACAUAACUUCUAAAAAUAUGGCUUUUAAUGAAAGUCUUCAGAGGUAAAACCUUGCUACAAGCAAACUUCAUGGUAACAACUUUCAUUAAAUUGUGUGAAAAUUAAUGACUGCUUUCAAAAAAAACCCAUUAGCAUAUUUUUUUUUAGUCCUGCCUAAACAAUACAAUUCCAAGUUUAAGUUCCUAAGAGUACAACCAGCCUAUAAUUUUAAUAAACAAAAACAAAUAUCAAAUAUAGGCUGGGUACUAGGAUGGGUUCUGUUUUGAAUGCUGGGUUAUUCAGAUGUAUGUCAACUUUGAAUCUAAGCGGAAACAAAUUUAAUGAUCCUAUCCUGUUCUUUUGCUGACAUUAGACCUCCACAAAUAAAGUCACAGUGAUUUCACUGGAAUAGGAACAAAAGAUCAAUUUAAGGUGCAUUGACAGAGUUAGAUGCAGAGCUGUGGCUGAGGAGUACUCAAGACAAGACCAACGCACAGUUUGAACACUGUAUUUUAGCUCUUUCUGCUCUGUGUAGUGACUACUGUAAUUUUACAUUGAUCCAGUGGAAUAACAUAAAAUAUCAGAUGAAAAUAGUCUUUUGAACACCAUUUGCUACCAAUCUUGUUACAAGAGGGAUAAAAAACUUCAGGGAAACAUUGACUCAUCAAGGUGAAGUUGCUUGUUUUCUGCCCAGGAUUUUCUUUAAAAAAAAACAAAAACAAAAACAAAACCUGCACCAAAACUCCCCAAAUCUUUAAUAAUAUGCCCUAAUUUGAGAAGGAGUAUAACCCAGAGUUUCAGGCUCUGAAACAGUGGGAUUUCUUCUCUAGGUGUGUAUCAUAGCUAUGCAGCACUGAUACGAGGAUCUAGUCUUCAAGUGCCAGUUUUCUUUGCUGAAUCUACCUUCUUAUUCUGAAGAAUAAUGUGAUGCUGCACAAUACUUCAAAUUAUGCUUUCAGGGAUGCACAAUGUGAGCAGGGGAGAGAAGUCUUCGCCUCCUAUUCUGCCUCCUACAAAAAUGUUUCACUCAAACUUUUUUGAUGAUGCCAAAAACUGAUAUAUAGCACAUAAAAUACAGCACUACCCAAAUAUGAAUCAGUCAUAAGGCAUCUCGCUCCCGGCUCUCUGAAUCAAACGAGCACACGCUAUGCAACGAUGAAGUAAUUGCACUUUUCAGAUUCCAAGGGUUACGAGGAGGUAAAAAACCAGAUGGUGGGCCACAGCCUGCCCUCCUUGCUGGCGGAGAGCACGAAUAGUCAUGGGAGUGAGGUAUUCUGCAAGGUGUAUGUGAAUGACUGAACAGUUCUGGUCUAGCGUGUGCACUGUUACGAGUUUAUGUCCCACAAGAGUUACUGCUGCGUGUGCGCCCUCCAACAGCUGCUGAGAACAUGGGCCAUAGAUGACCACAUGGAAUGAAAGUGGAGAUCUCAGAACAGGCUUUCGUCAAAGAUCAACAGCUAAGAAACAAUGGAGAUCUUUUCUCCUAUCCAUAACACUACAUUUGGGGCGGACCAUAGCACUGGACUCAAAUUCCUGUGGUAAUUUUCUGGAGAAAUUCAGCCUCCAAAUCUCUUUUACUGUUAUGCAUAAAACAAAGAACAUUGUUAUUCGUGGAACAUAUCAACUUGCUUAAAACAAUACAAACAAAUGAAAACAUAGGCCUGCCUCCUUCUUUUAGUAAGCUUUCAACCCAGCAUGGUCUAAUCAUUCAUCCAACAAAAUUCAGAGGAAUCUGCCACUCACUCCACUGGCAGCAGGGUGGAGAGCUGAAUUAAAUAGGGAAAGCCAGCUCGUGGUAAUAGAGGUGGUCCUUUCCUGGGCAGCAUCAGACAUAUAGGUCCACGUGCUCAGCUGUUGUAAGUGAGAUUUAUACUACGCAGGGAAUCGUCCCUUUGUUUUUCAGGUUGACUCUGAUAGGGAAGAUGGAAGGAGUAAACAUUAAGGAGGAAUCAAGAUACUGAAAAGGUUUAUAUUUAGAGCACUGAACUCUAAGAGAUUUGGACAAAUAAAUUCCUGUCACCAAAUGGCUUGGUUAUCUGAAGGGCACAUAUACAAACAAAAGGCCACAGGGAUCAGACACUGGAAUUAUUUAUAACAGGGAGGCACAGCAUGUGCUCUGAGAAAUCAAGUGCACCCUGUGCACUCGUAAACCAUGACCCUUAGCCACCUUCUCCCUCCAGCUGCUGGGUGAGGACUCAUCUGAGCAAAGGUAAGGCUCCAGUCCUCAUUUACAUAAAAUAAAAAAGAUUACAGUUAAUCUAUCAAGACAGAUCCAGAUAGAAGUACUAGCGAUAAUAGCACAGUUAAAACACUGCCAGGAGUGUAAAGCGGAGAUCACGGAUCCCUGGCAUGCUGCCAGCACCAACUGCCACAUCAUUAAGGUGGGACGGUGCUGAUUGUGAAGGGCGAACCUGUCUGAACGGCAUGGUUAGUCACCAUUCCCAUUAAUGGAUGAUGUGUAGCUAAACUUCUUGUGCAGCUUCUAAGUCUCACUUGCAGUCUCCAGCAGAUCUUUCAGGCAGUGUAAGCUCAUGGCUUUUACCAGGUCUAACCAAGGUUCACUGAAGUCCAAGGGAUCUUACGUUAAGGACAGGACCGAUGGCUGAGGGUGUCCCUUCCAUCUCUGGGGUUGAGUUUGCAUGAUGUCCUCACAGCUGUGCAGUUCCCCAGAAAGAGCCCCCUUAAUUUCAGUGAUCUUUUUGGCUGUUAAGAUGUUAGUUUACCAGAGACAGUUUCUCAGCUCAAUGCCAGCCGUUUCCACCUUUACUCAUUACAUGUAAUGCUCCCCAGAAAGCUCACUCAUGGAUGAACCCAGUGGCUGGUAGUCUUUAGAACAAGAAUCCUUAUCCUUAUUCAUCUCUUACUCAGUAAAGAACUGAUUGAUUUCCAUCUGGUGACUUACGGAGUAAUUUACUAUACUCAGAUUGCCUAAGAUGGUAUAUUCUGUCUAUUUAUAUCCUGGCAGAGGAGAAAUAAAUACAGGCAGAUGACAUGGGAAAGUGCCUUGAACCAAGCAGAAAGCUUUUGUGUUAGCAGUUUUAUUGUAUCUAUUCCACAAAAUGCUUUAAUAUUGGAAAAAACUGUAAAACAGAAGUGAGAAGAAAUGAAAACAAUCUGUAUCUUCAUGCAUGAACUAUAAACCACAACACUAGGACAGUUCUAUCUUGGAAAAAAAAGAAAUCUAAAUCUCUAAGUGGUUUCUAUUACAUUCAAUGGUUAAGAAUUGAUGAUGGUGGCUGAAUUUUAUCUCUAGACAGAAUAAAGCAUGACCCAGCUGCAUUACAUAGUCUG